AGUGUUUUUUUGAUGGUUUUGUGGGUUGGUUUUUUUUUGUCCCCAGAUAUAGGCAAAAAAUUCUAAUCACCUGAGACCAGGCAGAAAGGACAGAUUAUGCUGAAAGUCAGGAGAAAAAAUUAAUGGGAGUUCUUAAGGAAGUAUGUGAAUGUUGAUGAGGGAAGGCAGAUUUUGGUUGUCUUUAUGCUUCGUAGUCAACCUUUGGAUUUGCAGGGCUACAUAAUGAGUGCUCAUUAUUUUAUAGAUUUAAUUUUUAACUCAAGUAUUGUUCAGUUUCUCUAAAUGCAAAAUAAACUUUCAGAAAAGAAUAAGCAAAAAGAAUUUAAGAUGAGCUUGGAUGAAUUCCAAUCAAAAAUAGAAGGAAAUUAUGAAUCAUUAGUAUAUAUAUUCUACAUAAAGCCACUCACUGAGCCAUUCAAGAGAGAUAAUUAAAGGUGGUUUUGACAGGGAAAGGAAAAUGUGCCCACUGUCACUGAAAAUAUUAAAUGGGUACAGCUGGACAGUAUGUUGUGUUUGAGAAUUGGGUGGGCUUGGUAGAGGAGGAAGUGGAUAUUGAUGUGGCUCCUAUAAGAAGCUCCUAGAAGCUCCCCCAACUCCAAACCAGAACCACUUCUGGUCAAGCAUGAACCAAUCAGCACCUCUGUGAUAACAUUAUGAAAGGAAAAGAUUGUAGCCGGGUGGGGGUUGGUCUCUUCUCCCAGACAACCAGCAACAGAACAAGGGGACGCAGUCUCAAGUUGUGCUGAGGGAGGUAUAGGCUGGAUAUUAGGAGGAAGUUCUUCACAAAGAGAGUAAUUUGCCAUUGGAAUGGGCUGCCCAGGGAGGUGGUGGAGUCACCAUCCCUGGAGGUGUUCAAGCAAAGACUGGAUGAGGCACUUAGUGCCAUGCCCUGGUUGCCUGGCUAGGGCUGGGUGCUACGUUGGACUGGGUGAUCUUGGAGGUCUCUUCCAACCUGGUUGAUUCUAUGAGUCUAUGAAAACACAUUUUAAUGGCCAUGGUGGUCUUAGCUUGAUGGCUGGACUCGUUGAUCUUAGAGAUCUUUUCCAACUGAAACAAUUCUAUGAUUCUAUGUUGGGCAACUUCUUUUGUUUUAGGAACUCUUUAGUGCUGGAAAGGAGUGGGAGGUGGUAGAGAAAACCAUGUGGACACUGAGGUUAGUGAGGAAGGAGAUGGGGAGGCACACAGAUUCAUAGAAAGGUUUGGCUUGGAAGGGACUUUAAAGGCCAUCUAGGACCAAGCCCCCCCAUCAUGGGCAGGGACACCCUCUAGACUAGGUUGCUCAAACCUGGGUUGGCAUCAGAACAGCCACUCCCUUCAGGCCCAUGGUAAGCUGGCAGGCUGAGCUCUUGCAGGCCUUAGAGAUCAAAGGUGGAGUAAGAGCCCUGUCUGUGCACAGGGCUCUCCUGUGGAGGACUUUGUUUUGGAGCAGAGGCCUAAUUGCAAACAAGGCCUGAGGGAAGUUCUUAUUAGAGUGGUUCCUCUCUGGGACGAUCACAGCAUAUGAAAGGGGCCCACACUAGCAGGAGAGGUUUAUAGAGUACUGCCUUCCACUGGAGAGACACCAUUUUGCAGCAAGGGAUGACUGCAAAUUUUGCCCUUGAGGAGAAGGGAGCAGAGAAAACACUAUGGGGUGGACUAGGACUGACCUACUGGGACAUUGCUAGAAGUUCUUCCCAGGAUGCUGCAAAGAUCCAGUCAACAUCUGUCUGGAGAUGAGACAGUCUAUGCCCAGGUAGCCAAGAAGUCCAACAGCAUCCUGACCUGGAUCAAGAAUACCAAGGAAAUGAUUGUGGCUCCAGACUCAGCAGUGAGUCAGUUGCCUGUUGAGUAGAAGAGAAAGUGCCAAAGUAAGAUGGCAACUCAGCAGAGUUCAGAAGACAAUCCUUUGAUGUGAAAAUUCCAAUGCUCUUACAGACUUGCCCUUCAGAGAAUGAAGAAUAAUAGAGGUUUCAAGGGACCUCUGAAGACCAUCCAGUCCAACCCCCUGCCAAGGCAGGUUCACCUAAAGAAGGUCACACAGAAACGUGUUCAAGUAGCUUUUGAAUGUCUGCAGAGAAAGAAACAGCACUAGUCCCAGCACUGACCCCUGAGGGACACCACUUGUCACUGGUCUCCAGAUGGACAUUGUGCCCUUGAUCACCACUCUCUGCACGUGAUCAUCCAGCCAAUUCCUUAUCCACAAUGUCCUUAAGUGGCCAAGAAGGUAAAGAGCAUCCUGACCUGGAUCAACAAUAGUGUGGCCAGCAGUGCCAGGAAAAUGAUUGUGUCCCUGUACUGGACACUGGUGAGCCUACAUCUUGGAUUUAGAUUAGACUUUAGGAAGAAAUUGAAGAAGAAUAAAUGAAUAGAAGAAUAAAUGAAGAUUCUUUUAUCAAGCACCUUAGAGACGUUUAGAGAGAUGGAAUAGGAAGAGAGGAAUAGAAAGAGACUAAUGGAGGGGUUUGUGAUGGUUUGGGUGUUACCCACCCCCACACCCUCCCACACUUAAGAAAAUCACUCAGACUAGACUCAGCCGAGCUGGAAAUUAAAUGAAGCUUUAUAUUUACAGCUUAGCACAACAAACAAGCAGGUAUUUACAAUAGAUACAGCUAUAGACAGAAAGAUACAAGUUAAAAAGGAAUACAGAAACACAACAGCCCUUCCAGAAAUCUGAGUCCCCAGGAGGGGGGACCACUUUUCUCUCACCCCUCCACCUUACCCUAGACUUUGCCUUACAGUCAAGGUGAGUUUGGAGGAUUGGCCAGGGGGGUUAGGAAGCAGAUGGAUUAGUCAGGCAGCAAGUUAGGUUAGAGAGAGACAUUCAUGCAGCCCCAAAGACAGAGACUCUGUUGUCUAUGUUUAUGUUCUUGUUCAGCUUAUGAGUGCAGUGGACAUUACCAUUGUUUGCUUUUCAUAGCCUAUAAUCUAAUUCUUCUCACCAAAAUAUCCCAGCUAGGCUCAGACUAGCACAGGGGUGAAGACAGGGGAGUGUUGGAGGGCUUUUUUUUUUUUUAGCUUUAUGAACAAGUAUAAUUAAAGUUUUAUAAAUGAGAAAUGAGGGGGAAAAAAACAGAUUUCAGAAAGCUGAGUGACUUCCAAUUUCAAUUUUCAAACUGCAUCAAUACCAUUGAACAAAAUCAACUUUUUAACUAGGUUAUUAAUUUUUUAUUUAUUAACUUAGGGUUUUCUUUUUACAACAUUUUGGCUUCCUUUUCUAUCUUUUUUCCCCUUUUUUCUCUACUAAACUUUUACCGUCUUUGUGUCAAGGGGGAUUACCUGAGUCAUUGAAAGAAGAUAUAUUUAAUUUACUGCAGUUCCAAAAAUUGCAUGAAAAAAUGAAGAGGCAAGAAGAAAACUUCUCUGACUUUUAUCUAACAUCAUUUUUGGAAGAAGUUAUUGACUUAACUUGGUAUUAUUGCUAGUCUGGAUGUUCUAAGUUAGAAUGACAACAUCAACCAUCAUGACUUCAUGACACUUCAAAUAAAAUAUCCCUUUUAAAAGUU